rnacentral:rRNA from 1 species
UUCUGAGUGGCAUAAGCAAAAAUAAAACAAAACUUUCAGCAACGGAUCUCUUGGUUCUGGCAUCGAUGAAGAACGCAGCGAAAUGCGAUAAGUAAUGUGAAUUGCAGAAUUCAGUGAAUCAUCGAAUCUUUGAACGCACAUUGCGCCCGCCAGUAUU